AUGGACCUCCGGCAGCACACCAUCCAGCUCAGUGCGACUCAUGGCGCAGCGGCGUCGCAGCCGGGCGAUGGCGGCGCGAUGAGCUCCGAGCUGUACCUCGCCGUGUGCGGGGGGAAGAAGGAGGAGGCCAUGGCGCUGCUUCGGCGACCGCACUACGGCGGCGCUCCUGCCGAUGAUCGGGCUGCUGGCAUACACCAGGUGAGCGCAAAGAGGAACAACGUUCUUCACUUAGCCGCGGAGCACGGGCACGACGAGCUGAUCCACGAUCUCGUCAGCUUCGGGGGCAAGAGCUUGCUCUCUGCACAGAACUCUGCUCUCGACACGCCUCUGCACUGCGCGGCGAGGGCGGGGCACUGCAAGGCCGUGUCCGUCCUCGUCCAGCUCGCGAUGGACUACGGAGACGAGAGCACGCUGUGGUGCAAGAACGCGGCUGGGGACACGGCCCUUCAUCUGGCAGCGAGGCUCGGCCAUGGCGUGGCGGUGGAGGCCAUGGUCUCCGCGGCGUCCGGGCUGGCGUCCGAGGUCAACGACGCCGGCGUGUCGCCGCUGUACUUGGCGGUGAUGAGCAGGUCGGUGCCCGCCGUCAGAGCGAUAACGACGAACUGCAGGGACGCGUCGGCUGCCGGCCCGAGCUCGCAGAAUGCGCUGCAUGCCGCCGUCUUCCAGGGCUCAGAAAUGGUUAGCCUGCUCCUGGAGUGGAAGCCACGCGGCCCAUCCCUGGCUAGCCAAGCGGACGACACGGGCAGCACCCCGCUCCAUUUCGCCUCCUCCGACGGCGACCGCUCCGUCGUAGGUGCCAUCCUGAGCGCGUCGCCGCCGUGCGCGGUGCGCGUGAGGGACUCUGCCGGCCUCUCUGCUCUCCACGUCGCGGCCGGGAUGGGCCACGCCCGCGUCGCCAGGGCGCUGAUAGAGGCCUGCCCGGACGCUACCGAGCUCCAGGACGACCGCGGCGGAACCUUCGUGCACGCCGCGGCCAUGGGAGGCCACUCUGAGGUCGUGCGGCUCGCCAUCAAGAAGCCCAUGCUGGGCGGCGGCGGCCUCCUGAACACGCAGGACGGGGACGGCAACACGCCUCUCCACCUGGCGGUGGCCGCGCGGGAGCCGGCCAUCGCGGAGGCCCUGCUGUGGACGGGCCAGGUGCGAGCCGAGGUGACGAACAACGACGGCCACACGCCGCUGGACCUCGCCGCGAAAUCGACUGAUUUCUACUCCAUGGUGAGCCUGGUGGUGACACUGACGGCAUUCGGGGCGCAGUUCCGUCCGCAGAGGCGGGACCACGUGCAGCGAUGGGACAGCCGCAACAUAACAAAGGCGAUAGAGAAGACGUCCGACAGCCUCGCGGUGGUCGCCGUCCUCGUCGCCGGCGUCGCCUUCACCGCCGCCAACAACCUGCCCGGAUCGUACGAGCAGGAGGGGAACACAAAAGGGAUGGCGGUCCUCCGGAGGAUGACCAUCUUCAAAUGCUUCCUCAUCCUGGACAGCGUCGCCCUGGUGACCUCCAUUCUCGCGGUGGUCCUGCUCGUCUACGGCAAGGCCUCGCGCUCCGCCCGGUCGUGGAAAAGCUUCGCGGCGGCACUGCAUUGCAUAUGGAUGUCCCUGAUCAGCAUGCUCCUGGCAUUCUACGCGGCGAUAGCAGCCGUGACGAGCGCCGUGGGGGUCUACGACAUCAGGGUCUUCGUCGUGAAUCUCGUCCUUGUCGUGCUCUUCAUCGUGCUCUCCGCCUUUGUCAGCCCUCCGGUGUCGCACCUCAUAAUGUGCAAGUUCCUGUGGCAAUGCGGUUUCAGAGGACGCCAAGGUGGUGUCGUCCGCAGGCGUAUCAGCCAACAAUAUCCAGUGGUGGGCGCUUUUGUCUUCAACCUGCUUUUAUUCAGAGCUGCGCAUUAUGUUAUACUGUUCGCUGGCUUUAUCAUUGUCUCGACCCUGCGUGGCGGCUCCGAUGUUACUUAG
rnacentral:rRNA from 1 species